CGCAGAUAAAAACUGAGAGAGAAGUGAAGGCGGCAAAAGGGAGAUAUAGAGAAAGGGGGGCGUGAAAAAUCAUCGUCACUAGUCAAGCUCUGUCGCUGACCCACAGAUCCCAUUUUCUCAUCCCACCGACUUCUUCUCUGGCCACUCAAUCCGCCUCUUUCACCGUCAUUGGAGCUUGAAUCGCGGUUGAUUUUAUGCCUCACAAUGAGGCUGAUCAAGUAGAUUACAUGGCAGAAUAAGGGCGCAUGUCGGAUUUUGUAGAGAAUGUGGAAGAGGAAGAAAACGUCGGUGGAGAUAGAUUAUUACUAUAUGACAAAGGUGAUGGAUACGUUCUAUGAUCAAGCGAGAAGUGGGAAGGAUGUUCAAGUCAUACCAUGGGGCAAAUUUAAUAUAAUAAGCGAGAGUUAUAGACGAACUUGAUUCGAACAAUACAAGAAGUAUGAGAAUAUUCUCGUGUCGGGUGAUGCAGUUAAUAAGGUGAUGAUAGAUGUUCGCUGAUGGGAGUUGGUGGGAUUUUGUGAGGAUUGAGAUCACUAGACAACCCGAUUGUAUGUUCGUCUAUGGCUCCAUGGACUCUAGCGAGAUUUAAGAUCCCUUGACAGUUGUACAUCUUGGUAAUCGAUAGUAAUCGUCAGACAUUUACUUCACGCUUGUACAUGGUUUGAGCUCUGUGAUACACUGUAGUGUUACAUCCUGGAUAAGUUUUUUUGGACAUGUUGGCAUCCCUGAGCUAUCUCAUGAAGCAUCAUGAAGCAUCAGGCAUUUACAUCUGGUGCUUAACACAAAACCCUGAAUGUUACAAGCAAUGGUGGAGUUUGUUUUACGCUUGAGGAUAUGCUAGAUGGUUUGUGACUUUGCUUUCGGAAAAUUCUACAUUGAAUAUACAUUAUCUGGUUCAGUUGUGCAAAUGGGCUUUCUAGCAGCUUUUAAGAGAUACAAACCCUCAAAAGGAGCUACGGAUGCUCAAGAUCCACCCAAAAGCAUUGAACUUUCUGCAGAUCAAGUUAAAUUGUCAUAUGACUGGAUUACGAAUAGAGCCAAAGGUUUGGAUAUAACAUGGUGCAGCAGCCGGAGACAUUUCAACAUUAAUGUUAGGCGAACUAUGUUUUUUCUGUUUGGUCAUGUAUUUUAUUUUUUUCUGUAGCCUGUAUCAAUAUCAUGCCGAUGUAGUAUCUUGCUAUGUCGGUGGUUUCACUUUGUUGAUAAUAAUAGUCUCCGUUGCCUUUAAAAAAAUAUAGAUGUAAAUUACCUUAUCUAUUUUUAAACAAUUUGUAUCA